rnacentral:rRNA from 1 species
GACGAACGCUGGCGGCGUGCCUAAUACAUGCAAGUAGAACGCAGUUGCGAACGGGUGAGUAACGCGUAGGUAACCUGCCUCAUAGCGGGGGAUAACUAUUGGAAACGAUAGCUAAAACCGCAUACUGUGAGAUGGACCUGCGUUGAAUUAGCUAAUUGGUGAGGUAAAGGCUCACCAAGGCGACGAUACAUAGCCAACCUGAAAGGGUGAUCAGACAAACUGGAACUCAGACUCGACCCAGACUCCUACGGGAGGCAGCAGUAGAGAAUCUUCGGCAAAGGACGGAAGUCUGACCGAGCAACGCCGAGUGAGUAGAGAGGGUUUUCGGAUCGUAAAGCUCUAUUGUUAGAAAAGCGGUAGCUAACCGGAAGGGGACGGCUAACUCCGUGCCAGCAACCGCGGUAAUAC